CCUCAAAGUGCCCAGUUGGUUUAGCUUAAAUUUAAAGAAUGGAAAAGAUAGAAUUUGAGUUAAGAGAAGGCAGUCGCGCCGGUUGCUCACUCCUGCUAUUUUCACUAAGAAAACAAAGGGAGAAUCGGAGAUUGAAAUAAACUACGACACUGUCAAACGCACCCUGCAAAGAAAGAGACAGCCUUUCCUGCCAAAAUCUCCAACUACUCCAGAAAAUACAAGAUAAUCGCCUUGAUGCAAGCCAAUAUUCAGGAGCAAGUUCGAAAUUUUUUAAUUGAUGCUACAUUUAAAAUUUGCCCUUUUGGAGACUUCAAGUAACUUUUGAUUAUUUAUAUCAAACAUAUGCAAAAGGUAAGUUUUUUUCCAAAUAAUACUUAAUAAUUAAAAACUCCUUUUUAGAAAAUUCCAUUUAUAUUUGUUUUGAUGACGUGAAAAACGGAGCUUUGCUAUCAGCAUUUGUUCACAUACAUUGACUCCAAUCUUUGCUGUCUAAAUGGGGCAUCUUUCAUUUCGGAUUAUGAAAAGGCAAUGCGUAACGCUUUGAAAACCAUACAUCCCAACAUGGAUUUCUAUGCUUGCUGGUUUCAUUUUACUCAAGCAUGCAAGAAAAAUGCAAAAAAAACGAUUGGUUUUGAGCAUAUGCUAAAAAGCAACAA